rnacentral:lncRNA from 1 species
CCCCUCAGCACACCUGGGCAGCUCCUCCCAGCAAUUGAGAGAAUUUGGAUAGCCCUGUCCCCUUCUCUAUGACAUCACAUCCUACUCUACAAAGGAAGUAAAAGUGCCAAGAAUUACAUCAGGAAGUGGAAGAGUGGCAGGAAGGAAAUGAUGAAGCCACACAGAGCACCAGAAGCCACCCUCAGUUCCUGCAAGACAGAGAAAGGAGACAGAGAAGAGGAGGUUCCUGGGUAUUGUUCUCCUGUGCCAGAGCUUCAUUCGUGAUCCUACUUCACUCUCCCUCUCCAGGAGCUGCCUUGCAUCUGCCCACCUCUUCCAGUUUUCAGCUACUUUCUUUCUCUGGCAUUGUUUUCCAGGCAAGGUUUCAAAUUCAACACUGUUCUCUGAAAGGGGGAACUCUGCACAGUCAGGGACACACUGGGCACAUAUCAUCAGCUACCUUCCUAGUAAAGGAUCUUUUCUUUUUCACGGGAGGUGAACAAAUGUGCAGAACUGGCAAAUACAGGAUUGUAUUUCACCUCCUUGCCUGGCUGAAUCAGAGCCUAUCUCACAGACAUCCAGAUUCAUGCAAAUCAGAAGCAAUACAGUCUCAUCCCAGAAAUUUCCUUCGCAGACUUCCACAUGCCUCAUUGGGGGAAGAAAUAAAUCUGCCCCAAAAGACAACAACAUAUGCAAGGGAGGCGCAGUGACCGGGUAGUGGCGAACCACCUAGGGCACUGGCUGCAACACAGAGAAUGUGCCUUUCCAUGCUUAAGUUCACUCUUUAAGCACUCUUCUGAACCAAGAACACUGGCUCAGAUAUCUUAAAGGCUUACUCAAGAAUUCCUUAGUGCCUCUCAAACAGAAAACUCAUUUUAAGUGUCCUUAACAUAAAUACAAUAGACCAGUGUUCACUUGAAGGUUAAAAUUUUGCCCUUUCAGGACUUAAAUAAAACUUUCUGUGAGAGCCUCUUUGAUUGCAAAAAGAAAAAGGGAAGAAAUGAAAAAAAAGAAAAAAACCUCGCCACCAUUUAAAAAUCACUUCAGUGUUUACAUUUGUGGAAUCCUAAAUGGGUAUUAAUGACAGGCUUUCUGUCCUUUUCCUAACAUUAAUGUGUCUUUUCCUAAUCCAUACUGGCAGUUCA